GUUUGAAAAGAAGAACUGUGACCAGUAAAGAACAAGAAGAACAAGAUGUAACAUCUUUAUCACUGGGCAAUUUCUAUCUCCAAGCUAAAUAUGAAGAUGCCUCAUGUCCCCAUCUGCCACCUUGAGUCGGUGCUCACAACGAAGCCAACAGAGUUGAACAGAUAUCAAAACAUGGAAAGAAAGAGCUGGACCCUGGCUGAAAGCCUGAGGUGUAGUCAUCUUCACUAUGCUCCAGCAUUCUGAAUAAGGAUGAAAAGAUAAAGCAAGCCAUGGUGAUAUCCUCUAUCAGAAUAUAAACUUGCAACACACAACUUGUUUUGGACCAGUGGAGACCUCUGUCUCCAGCUGCAGCUCUAACAGAAAUAACAAUGAAUAUAAUAAAUGACAAGUACAAGACA
ensembl:lncRNA